GGUCUUGACCCAGUCUCUCCAGGUACUGCUGGCGUACGACCUACCACUAGUGGUUGUGUCGAAAACCAGAAUUUUUGGAUCUCCUCCUCGGGGUAUCCGGGAGGGUAG
rnacentral:sRNA from 1 species